CGGACGGGUGAGUAAUGUCUGGGAAACUGCCUGAUGGAGGGGGAUAACUACUGGAAACGGUAGCUAAUACCGCAUAACGUCGCAAGACCAAAGAGGGGGACCUUCGGGCCUCUUGCCAUCGGAUGUGCCCAGAUGGGAUUAGCUAGUAGGUGGGGUAAAGGCUCACCUAGGCGACGAUCCCUAGCUGGUCUGAGAGGAUGACCAGCCACACUGGAACUGAGACAGGUCCAG
rnacentral:rRNA from 1 species